GCCGAACGAUCCUGACUGUUAAUGGAAUGCGGCUCUAUUGCACUUCGGCAGUGAUGGGUAACCCAACAUGAGAUCCUGAGUGGCAUGGCGGAAGAAAUAACCUUGGUUCCAAAGGAGCCAGCUGGCUUUUAGCUCAGACAAUAGAGACUCGUAUGUCCAUCAGCAAAAGACUGCUCUAGAAAGACCUUUACCAAGUUUUGCUAACCACCAACACUGCUGUGAAGUGCCAAGAACUGACUGUUGGCCAAUGCUUCUCACUACAAAAAGAUCCCUCCAUCUCGAAAUGAUCCUACCCCAAUUGCUGAUAAGCCUCUCUCUUCUGGUCCUGCUUUCCCACCUGCUGGACACCAGAAGAACCAAAAUA